ACAAAACAAUUGACUGCCGAACGUCUGUCGACCGUAACCGGAAUGUAGAAUUCGUGUAAGCUGAUAAAAUUUAAGUUUCAACAAAUUUCAAAACCAAAAAUUUUUAUUUAGAAAAAAGUUAUCUCUUAUUCUAUGAUUUCUCUCUGCAAUUUUCCAACUGAUUGUUGAGGCUUUCCCUACGUUUUGUAAUGAGCAUAAUUGCCUCUUUACAUUUACGAUUCAUUUAUUGGACAUUUACGGUACAUUUACGAGACCAUAACCAGGCCUUAAGGCCUUUAGUCUUUUUAUUAGCUAUGUUCGGGAACUCAAAAAUUUUUGCAAAUUUGCACAAAUUUUUACUGGAAGUCGUUCGCGUACUUUAUUUGCCAGCAGAAGAGAGCGCGAGAGAGAGCAAAUUUUGACAGUUCGAAAAUAGAGAACCUGCAAAUUUCUACUGGGACUUUUUUGCCAGCAGAAAUUUGCAACUUUGAACAGAUGUUUUGUAAAGGUCAGCUGUUUUAUGAAAAGCAGCCGUUACAUGAAAAUACAAAAGCUAAUAUCAAAAUAGAUCAAAAAGGCAGAGAUUCAAGGCAGCAGCUAAUUAUCAGGUACAGAAAAUUCACCAAAUGAAGUUGUAAUUUUACAUCAAGUGGGCUGUUCUACAUUAGAAGACACUAUGAAAAGAGCAAUGAUCGGUUUCUUGAGUUUUUCAAUGGAAUUAUCCUCAUCAGUGCGCCACAAUGAAACCAUCACCGUUCCUUUGAAUUUGUUAAAGAGCUGGUAUUUAGUGGGUCUGGUUGGGCAGUUAAAAGUUACGCACAGUGGGAUUCGAAAAAGUUAAUGCAAAUUAGUCUACCAAUUGUGAACGGAUACAGUUAUCUUCAAUGAUAACACAGUGGUCGAAGCCGUCAAUAGAAAGCUCCCUUAGCCUCACAUCAGUGGUCGCAGCAAUUUGUCUAGCCACAAUAUCGAGAAGCAUUAGGUGGUUAGUACAACGUUCCUUUGUCAGCACAACAUCUUCCAAACAUCGGGUACUAUAAUAGUGCUCAGACAGGCUUACGACAGUUGUAAGGUACUUGCCUCCAGGCAGAUCCAGAUUCUUCAGAAUCAGUAUUGAGAUUCUGUCUGGGGCCACGGAUGACAUUCGUAGCUUCGUGCACGAUAAAUUGCGAUGGCUAUGCAGCGGCACGGAGAUCACGGAUACGACGAAUGGCUCCCCUUCUAGCCUUGUCACUCUCGGGUCAAUUGACGUUUAUCUAAGGAAAAUACAUCACAACUAUCGCCAGCAUUUUUUAUUUUAAAAAAUUGUCUUCCUAAGCAAGCAAAUAAAAAAACCAAUCAAAACAAAAAGCAGUUGUUGUUCUGCAAAUUUUCACUGAAA